GCAAGUUCUAAUGAAUGAAUUCAUAAAGUUCAAGGUUCUUCUCAGGGAGUUCUUGUAAUUUUUUUAUCCCCUUCUAUGUUUUCUUAGACAAGUUUGAUAAAGUUGUACUUUUUGCCAUAAAUAGUUGCCCUGUCACUGAAAAUAGGAUCAAAACAGUAUCUGGUUCAGCAAUAGCAGCUAGUCUACAAUCAUGAUCAACAAAGUUCACAUCCAACAACUGGUGCACCUC
rnacentral:misc_RNA from 1 species